UGAGGGAUAUUGGUCAAUGGGGGAAACCCUGAACCAGCAACGCCGCGUGAGGGAAGACGGUUUUCGGAUUGUAAACCUCUGUCCUCUGUGAAGAUAAUGACGGUAGCAGAGGAGGAAGCUCCGGCUAACUACGUGCCAGCAGCCGCGGUAAUACGUAGGGAGCAAGCGUUGUCCGGAUUUACUGGGUGUAAAGGGUGCGUAGGCGGCCCUGCAAGUCAGAAGUGAAAUCCAUGGGCUUAACCCGUGAACUGCUUUUGAAACUGUAGGGCUUGAGUGAAGUAGAGGCAGGCGGAAUUCCCGGUGUAGCGGUGAAAUGCGUAGAGAUCGGGAGGAACACCAGUGGCGAAGGCGGCCUGCUGGGCUUUAACUGACGCUGAAGCACGAAAGCGUGGGUAGCAAACAGG
rnacentral:rRNA from 1 species